rnacentral:rRNA from 1 species
AUUGAACGCUGGCGGAAUGCUUUACACAUGCAAGUCGAACGGCAGCACGGGGGCAACCCUGGUGGCGAGUGGCGAACGGGUGAGUAAUACAUCGGAACGUGCCCAGUCGUGGGGGAUAACUACGCGAAAGCGUAGCUAAUACCGCAUACGAUCUACGGAUGAAAGCGGGGGAUCGCAAGACCUCGCGCGAUUGGAGCGGCCGAUGGCAGAUUAGGUAGUUGGUGGGGUAAAGGCNCACCAAGCCGUCGAUCUGUAGCUGGUCUGAGAGGACGACCAGCCACACUGGGACUGAGACACGGCCCAGACUCCUACGGGAGGCAGCAGUAGGGAAUCUUGCGCAAUGGGCGAAAGCCCCGACGCAGCCAUGCCGCGUGAAUGAUGAAGGUCUAGGAUUGUAAAAUUCUUUCACC